CGAAGGGUGCAAGCGUUAAUCGGAAUUACUGGGCGUAAAGCGCGCGUAGGUGGUUCAGCAAGUUGGAGGUGAAAUCCCCGGGCUCAACCUGGGAACUGCCUCCAAAACUACUGAGCUAGAGUACGGUAGAGGGUAGUGGAAUUUCCUGUGUAGCGGUGAAAUGCGUAGAUAUAGGAAGGAACACCAGUGGCGAAGGCGACUACCUGGACUGAUACUGACACUGAGGUGCGAAAGCGUGGGGAGCAAACAGG
rnacentral:rRNA from 1 species